ensembl:lncRNA
CACGAGCUACGUGCACGAGUGCUCAGAGCGCAUGCUCUUCGGAUGUUGACAACCGUGACAUUGUUUACUGUGGACACGCACGUUUGUUUUGUUUCUGUUCUGUCUCCUCCCUGUUCUGUCAUUGGUUGUUGUUCGAGGGUGUGGCUUUAUUGUUUUCAGCUGCCAGCGCUUAGCUGAUUAUAUUCGGAAUAUAUACCGCUCACGAACCUGUACACCUCGUGCAGUAUUCUGUCACGUCGUGAGAGCUAAGGGAGUAGCGCAUGGAAGCAGAAUGGUCAGCUGAAGGCGAGGAGGAGGUCCACGAGUGGCGUGAGAGGAUCCCCUGAAACGAAUUCUCUUAUCUGCUUCAGAGCCAAGGAGGUCAUGAAGACUCCUCCUCGCACCCCUCAGUGUUGGUGUGUUUGGUCUCCGUAUCCUUGUAAAGCACUUGCUGGAGAAUCUGCUGUUUUCGGGCCACACCUCCAUAAAGCAGAAGAUGGCCGCUUUCCAGUGCGUGAUGGAGACUGAGAAUGCGGAACGAUCUGUCUCUCCUGGGAAGCAAGAGGAGGGAGUGAGACGCAUUCAGUCUGAUCGCCUUCCCCACAUGGAUGAGGAGUAUGAUGAUCCACAGCUGGACAGUAAAGGCGAUGUGCCUCGACAGACUCAUCUGAACUCUGUGAGCUCACAGCACAUCAUCGGCCACUCGUUAAAGACCCUGAAAUCACGGACGCCGCUUUUCAAGAAGAUGAAACCUUCGGCCAGGACGUCCACGUUCCUGCAGUGUCUCAGGCUGCAUCUCACCAAGCCGCGACUCUUCUCUAUGGGCUUCAGGACGUCUUUGAUGCAGGAGAGGUCUGGCUGCUGCCAGGGCUCGUGGCUUUCUAAGGGGGCUGAAGAUGGAUUUGACUUCUCCUCUACUUGACGGCCUGAACUCGCUCACGUCCUCGUUGUUCUUCUCCUCUCUCGCUUCCCGAAGAUUCCAGUGUCCUCACAUGUCUUCUCUAAUCCUCUUUUGUUCGUCUAACUGUUCCUCUUCCUCUGCCACAGAUCUAUUUCUCGCCCUAGCGCUCUUCCAUCCUCUGAGUUUCCGGUUCUGGUUUUGUGGACUGUUCUCCUGAUGGAUUCUCCUGUUCAGGUGUUGAUUUUGGUUUCAAUAACAGCAGCUCUGACAGUAGUGCAGCUGCAAAUGACCGGUUUGGAUUAACAUGCUCGUUCUAAUGUUACCGUUUCUAGUUACAGCUCGGGAUAAGGCAAAGAAGGAAGUGAGGGUGGUUAAUUUAAAAAAAAAAAAAAAAAAAAAAAAAAAAUUCCCAUUUUAGCUAUAUUCUAGACUUAAUUUUUGCAGGAUCAUUCAGAUGCGUUAUGGCAUGUAUUCUGUUAAGUGUGCUCCUGCCUGUAGUGGUUGUCAGGGUGUUGCUCAGGCUGGAGACUUCGUACUCCAAGAUGGGGCUGAGAAGAGGGUUUUUGGAGAUGUAGUGUCAUGCCAUAGAGCAAGCGGUCCACCUCUUUAGUCCAGAAUCUGUUCGUAAACCUUUGCUGGUGUGAGCCCCUUGUGCAGUGAUAAAUUUCAGCGACACGCGGUUCCUUCCCUGCGACCAUCUCCAAAUCAGCCCCCCUGAAAAUCCAUUUUAAUUCCAGGUUAUAAUGUGGCAAAAUAGGAAACACACCAAGGGGUGAAUACUUUCUCAAGGCACUGCAUCUAAAUUUUAAAAAACAAGAACUCAUUUUUUUUUUUUUUUUUUUUUUUAAAGUACCAUAUGUUUAUAUGGAAAAUGAAAACGUAACUGUACAGUUUCGUAAGGAAGGAAGACGUACAGCGCUGUAUGAACACGUGACGGCGCUCAUUUCCUCUGUGAUCCAGAGCUCAUAAAACACAGUGCAGAACGAGGAAACGAGAGGAAUUAAAAGCGCACAGGAAGUCCGCGUACCUUCAUUUUGCCCUGGGUGGACUGGGCGGCAGAGCGAGAGCUCCUUCUGGUCUCCGUGGUCUCGCUCUGCGCCGGUUGCUGAAACGCACAGGCACGUUGCGUGCAUGAGAAACUUCUUAUGGUCGGUUUUAAAUCUUUAUUUGCAUUUGUUUUAAUUAAAAGAUUUGACUUAUCUGUAUAGUCAUGUUAACAGUACACACUGUCCCAUUUAUUAUAAGUUCAAUAUCUUACACCAAAUCAUCAGUGUCCAGUCAGUCUGUAAUUAUAAAAAAAAAAAGUUAAUUUAUUUUAUUUUAUUAUUAUUUUUUU